AACGAACGCUGGCGGCAGGCUUAACACAUGCAAGUCGAGCGCAUCCUUCGGGGUGAGCGGCAGACGGGUGAGUAACACGUGGGAACGUACCCUUUUCUACGGAAUAACGCAGGGAAACUUGUGCUAAUACCGUAUGUGCCCUUCGGGGGAAAGAUUUAUCGGAAAAGGAUCGGCCCGCGUUGGAUUAGCUAGUUGGUGGGGUAAAGGCCUACCAAGGCGACGAUCCAUAGCUGCUCUGAGAGGAUGAUCAGCCACAUUGGGACUGAGACACGGCCCAAACUCCUACGGGAGGCAGCAGUGGGGAAUAUUGGACAAUGGGCGCAAGCCUGAUCCAGCCAUGCCGCGUGAGUGAUGAAGGCCUUAGGGUUGUAAAGCUCUUUCACCGGAGAAGAUAAUGACGGUAUCCGGAGAAGAAGCCCCGGCUAACUUCGUGCCAGCCGCCGCGGUAAAAC
rnacentral:rRNA from 1 species